rnacentral:rRNA from 1 species
AUUGAACGCUGGCGGCAGGCUUAACACAUGCAAGUCGAACGAGUGGCGGACGGGUGAGUAAUGCUUGGGAAUCUAGCUUAUGGAGGGGGAUAACUACGGGAAACUGUAGCUAAUACCGCGUACCAUAGGAUGAGCCCAAGUGGGAUUAGGUAGUUGGUGGGGUAAAGGCUCACCAAGCCGACGAUCUCUAGCUGGUCUGGGAGGAUGCCCAAGCACACUGGGACUUGGACACGGCCCAGACUUCGACGGGAGGGAGUAGUGGGGAAUAUUGGGCAAUGGGCGAAAGCUUGUCCAGCAAUACCGCGUGUGUGAAGAAGGCCCUAGGGGUGUAAAGCACUUUUGUUAGGGAGAUGUUACCUAAAGAAUAAGCACCGGCUAACUCCGUGCCAGCAGCCGCGGUAAUAC